UAGGGAAUCUUCGGCAAUGGGGGGAACCCUGACCGAGCAACGCCGCGUGAGUGAAGAAGGUUUUCGGAUCGUAAAGCUCUGUUGUUAAGGAAGAACGAGUGUGAGAAUGGAAAGUUCAUGCUGUGACGGUACUUAACCAGAAAGGGACGGCUAACUACGUGCCAGCAGCCGCGGUAAUACGUAGGUCCCGAGCGUUGUCCGGAUUUAUUGGGCGUAAAGCGAGCGCAGGCGGUUAGAAAAGUCUGAAGUGAAAGGCAGUGGCUCAACCAUUGUAGGCUUUGGAAACUGUUUAACUUGAGUGCAGAAGGGGAGAGUGGAAUUCCAUGUGUAGCGGUGAAAUUCGUAGAUAUAUGGAGGAACACCGGUGGCGAAAGCGGCUCUCUGGUCUGUAACUGACGCUGAGGCUCGAAAGCGUGGGGAGCGAACAGG
rnacentral:rRNA from 2 species